AUCAAACAAUAAGGCCCACUUAUGCAUUAGUACAAAAGAGCUAAUUCAAACAAUCUGAAUGAAGAAGACAAUUAAUAAACCAAUAUGAUGUGGGUCAAAGAAUAAAAAAGAUGUAUUCAAUGCAAGCAGGCAGAUGAGAUAGUAAGUGAAUUCAAGUGGUGGAAGCACAUAUCAAAGUGGUCGGAACAAAUAAUUCUAGACAAUAUUUUAAUGGUUUAAAUUAUUGUGGUAGUUUAUUUCAGUGUUCCAUCAAUCUUUGUUUUAUGCAGGAAGCUGCAAUUGUUUGGAAGUAUGUAUGUUUUUACGUAGUAAAGUAUAUUUGGACCUUUGUUGGGUUGGCACUAAUUGUAUGCCAAAGGGAAGAGCUUCCAACUGCAUGUUUGUACUGUAUGAU
rnacentral:misc_RNA from 1 species